CAUACCUGUUGUCAGCAAUAUCCAAGAUGUCGAAGCACGUGCAUCGCGUGCACAACAACGUAAAUCUUGUACGCCGUAUUUGUGUACGCAGACCUUAGGAAGAAAUGGAGGGAAAACAUCUAAGAUAGGUUGCAGUGAGUCGUCAUAAACGUAUUAUUUUUGAAUGCAACUAUGUCAGCCUAUCAACCAAUUUUCGUCUAGUAGGCCUAGCCUAUACUACAGUACAUUAUUUUAGAUACUGAAAAUUGUUGUUCGCGAGAGGGAUGAACAUUGAUUGAUUGGUUGGUAACCAGCUUCAGCUUCACUCCUUUGAUGAGAAGUGAGAAGGCAAACAAAGCUAAGGACUAAGGUAUUACAUUCACAGAGAGUGAGAGACACUGCUACUUCAUCAUGGUGAUUGCAGAAAAGGAAGGCAAAGUUUUAGCUGGACACUGAUUAUAUGGUGGAUUAGGAAUUAUCCCUUCCAUCGAUAUGGUGUUUGCGUUUGGCAUUUGUUUUUGCAAGCAGUCAAGUGAUGCGAACAGUCGCUCAGCACAGAUGUUGCCCAAAGGACUUGUCGACAUCUCACUACGAAGUGUUUGUGACGGUUCGAAACAUUAGAAAGUUGUGAUGGCGCCAAGUUUGUGUCAGAGAAGUAACUGACAUGAAGAUAGAACUUUAAGUACUGUAUAGAAAUUGUGCUCAUGUCAUUUUAUUUAAAAACCUUAAAAAUACAUUGGAUAGUGAUAAAAUUAUACAGUACUGCACAAUAGUAAGCUGUUUCAAUAAUAUUAAAAUCAGACAGAUGCUAGAUUUAUAAUAGGUUUACUAUGUUUUAGUUAUAAUCAGUAAUUUAAAUUGUUGUCAAUAAUUUGUUUAAAACACAUUUUUAUUAUCAUUUAACUACAGCAUACAGUAUACUUUCCUUCCACUAAUGCCAGUAUUCAAUACAAAGAUCACUAGCAGACUAUUUUAAUACACAGUAGAAUAGUGAUCUGCAUUAACACUAUUUUAUUUACUUUUAAUUUAAAAACAUUUAAUUCCCCUUUUUACUAAGGGUCUUAGCACACAAUGUCUCUCGUAUCUUUCCUACAGAAUUCACAGAUUUCAUCAUACAGAUAUUUUUUUCUUGCAUCACUUAAGCCUUGUGGUGGAAUUUUAUCAGGCAUACCAGUUAGAAACACUGACUUUAGCAGUUUGAUUUCAAUUUUCUUCGCUAUCAUGCCACUCUUUUACAAAGAUAAACCUAGGUUUACUUUGGUCAAUCCUAAAGUGAUGCAGUGACUUUAUACCAACUAAUGGCCUAAAAUGUGGAUUGGAAAAAUCAUCCCAUGCAUAAAAUGGCACAGAUGAUUUUACAUUUUA